ACAUUCAUCCAGUGGUUAUGAUGUCUGCUUUACAAUUCACGAUUGUGAAAGCGCAGAAGGUCCCCGGUUCGAUCCCGGGCUUCCGUA